rnacentral:rRNA from 1 species
AUUGAACGCUGGCGGCAGGCCUAACACAUGCAAGUCGAACGGUAACAGGAAGAAGCUUGCUUCUUUGCUGACGAGUGGCGGACGGGUGAGUAAUGUCUGGGAAACUGCCUGAUGGAGGGGGAUAACUACUGGAAACGGUAGCUAAUACCGCAUAACGUCGCAAGACCAAAAAAGGGGGACCCUUCGGGCCGUCUUGCCAUCGGAUGUGCCCAGAUGGGAUUAGCUAGUAGGUGGGGUAACGGCUCACCUAGGCGACGAUCCCUAGCUGGUCUGAGAGGAUGACCAGCCACACUGGAACUGAGACACGGUCCAGACUCCUACGGGAGGCAGCAGUGGGAAUAUUGCACAAUGGGCGGCAAAGCCUGAUGCAGCCAUGCCGCGUGUAUGAAG